rnacentral:lncRNA from 1 species
AAAUAACACGGUCAAAAUUAAGUCACAAUAGCAUCAUCUGUAACGAUAUAAGCAAACUCGCCUUAACCUAUACGAUAUUCUAUAUUAAUUGAUGAGCAUUUAGCAAUUUGAAUUGCAGCUUCAACACAUGCUAACAUCAGAAAUUAACAAAGAAGAACUCCAACAACUUUAUAGCCUAAAAGAACAUACCGAAUUUUUGAAUCAAUAAACAAAAUCUGAUGAUUUAUAUUUCAUUAGAAAAAACACAGAGUUACAAUUUUAAUUAGGUACAUAUCUAAAUAGUAGCGCAACAACAGAAUAAAGAGGAAGAAAAUAAGCCUCCGAAUCGAGACUCAGUCAUAGCAUGAUAAUACAGCAGCGAACAACAGAAAUUGAAGUUAAAACUCAAACUUCACAUUCAGAAAACUUGAAAUCCAAGUAUCCAAGAGUGGAACCCAGCUGAUGAAACUCUUUUAAUUCUUUUUUUUUUUUUUGUGUUUUUGAAAAUCGAAGUUGAAUUUCUAGAAAUUCUUCUAUUUUGUUUCCUUCUUUUUAAUUUUUCGUGAAGUUUCCGUUUCCAGAUUUGAGAUGCAAUUUCGGAUCUAGGAAUUUGCUUUGUUUUUUGUAUAAGUGAGGUUAUGAUUUGAGGAGGGAAAAGAUGAGAGUGAAAGAGAAAAAGCUCUCGGUUAAGGAGGAGAUUUUCAUUGUUGAGUGAAAAAUGGAGACGAAUAUCCUCUCAGAUGCACUGCUGCUUUAUUCUUUUCUAAGGGUCUCAAAUCUCUUCUUACUUUUGUUUGUUAGGUCUUUUUUUAUGUGACGGAUUAGGGUAAAGGGUAAUGGGUAUUUGAGUAUAGUAUUGGAUUGGGCAAGAAAGAGGAAAUUUGGGCUUUUUUUUUUCGGAAUUGGCCAAAUCCAAGUAUUUUAAAAGAAACAAAACUUACAUAUAUUCUUCCUAAUUUCCUUUUCACCUUUUUUCCUUUUUUUAAUUAAUUAAGAUCCUAAAUUAAUCUAUUUUAAUAAAAAUAAAAAUUCUUUAUUUAUUUUUAAUAUUAAAAUAACUAAUUAACUUAAAACUAAGAAAAAUAUUAAUCUUAAGACUAACAGAUAAAUAUGUAAAAAUGAUAAUUUUUAGGAUUUUUCUAUGAUUUAGAAAUGUUCGAAAUGCAUGAAAUGCAAAUAAAUAAAGAAAAUUCCUAAAAUUAAUAAAAUUAUUUUUGGUCUAUCUUUUAGGAGUUAUUUUCACGUAGGGCAAAAAUCACGUGCUCACAGCUGCCCCUCUUUGCUCGAAAACACAAAGAGUUUUCGUACAAAGAUAAAGUGAGCGGAUACGAGCGAUUUUUGCCCGUUUGAGUACUCCGUGGGAAGCAUUUUUAAAAGAUUUGACCGCACGGUACUUCCGUGGUUGCUUACAUAUCCUUGGGUAUAAAGGAAUCAGGUCAGUAUAGUUCGGGAAUGCUCGAUAGUUGGGACUACCAUGAAGCUGUGAUUUCACUGUUGCUACUGCUGCUGCUACUGCUUACUGAGCCCCUUAUUACACCACGUCAAAAUAAAAAGAAGCUAGACUAGCCUAUGAUCUAUGAAUUACAAAAGCCCUAUCUAUAUCUUCAAACUUGAUCUUGUGAUUCUUGUUGCCUUGUUGACUUGUAUUCUCCGGGGUGAAGUUCCUUUGUUGUCAACUUGAAUUGUAAUUUGAAAUGCUUUUCCUUUUCUUCGGGUGGAUGGCUGAUUACUAGAAUUAAACUAUAUUCUUUAGAAACUCGGACUGUCUUUCCUUGUUCUACAGGUGCGCGCCUGAUUGCUAAACUUGAAUUGUUGUUCCUUGAACAUUGAACUGCUUUCUCUUGUUCCUUAGGUGGGUGCCUGAUGGCUGAACUUGAACUACUUUUCCUUGAAAUUUAAAUUGUUUUCCCUUGUUCUCCAGGUGGGCGCCUGAUUGCCAAAAACUUGAACUGUGUUCCCUUGUCCUCUAUGUGGACACCUGGUUACCAAAAACUUAAACUAUAUUCCCUCGUUAUCAAGGUGGGCGCCUGAUCACCAAAACUUGAAUUGCAUUCCCUCUUUAUCCAGGUGGGCGCCUGAUUGCCAAAACAUGAAUUGUAUUUCCUUAUUCUUAAAUGCAGAUGCAAUAUUUUUGUAUUUUUUUUAUGAAUCAUCGCAAUUCAAAAAUGCACACAAAAUGCAACAGAACCGCGAGGCUGCCUACGUAUCCCUAAAAAGAAUCAGGUAUAACGUAGUUCAUGCUGAUUUCUUGUUUUUGUUGUUGUUUGUCUGUUUUCCUUGUCAUUUCCUCUUUCUGUUUUUCUUUUAUUUUUUUCUUUCUUUUCUUCGUUUUUUUCUUUUUUUUUUGUUUUGUCUCUUUUUUUUCUUGUUUUUUCUCUCUUUUUUCUUUUCUUUUUUUUUUUCAUUCUUUCCAUCCUUUCCCUUCCUUUUCUGACUUUUGUUACUGAUUCUGAAGAGGGGUAUGAAAAGAAAUAUAACUAAGGCUCAACGGGGUAGCAAAUGAUAAAAUAUUACCAUACAAAUGGAGCAUCCUUCUGAGUCAACUUAGUCAAGGGCGAUGCAAUAGAGGAAAAUCCCUAAACAAACCGGCAAUAAAAACCUACCAAACAAGAAACUACGAAUCUCUGUAGUUGAGGUCGAUCUAGGCCAACUCUGAACUACCUCUAUCUUCCUUGAGUCGACGUGAAUACCUUCACUGGGCACCACGUGCCCCAAGAAAGCCACCGAACUGAGCCAAAACUCACACUUGGAGAACUUUGUAUAAAGCUUCUCCUCUCACAAUCUUUGCAAUACAACUCGCAAAUGCUGCACGUGCUCCUUCUGACUACGCGAAUACACUAGAAUAUCAUCAAUGAAAAUAAUAAUGAACGAAUCCAGAUAAGGUCGAAAUAAACUAUUCAUCAAAUGCAUGAAUGUUGCUGGGGCAUUAGUCAGCCCAAAAGACAUGACAAGAAACUCAUAGUGCCCAUAUCUGGUCCUGAAAGCAGUCUUAAUAAUAUCUGAAUCCCUGAUCUUCAACUGGUGAUAGCCCGAACAGAGAUCANNNNNNNNNNNNNNNNNNNNNNNNNNNNNNNNNNNNNNNNNNNNNNNNNNNNNNNNNNNNNNNNNNNNNNNNNNNNNNNNNNNNNNNNNNNNNNNNNNNNNNNNNNNNNNNAACUGGUGAUAGCCCGAACAGAGAUCAAUCUUGGAGAACACCCUCGCUCCCUGAAGCUGGUCAAAUAAAUCAUCAAUACGAGGCAAGGGAUACUUGUUCUCCACUGUUGCUUUGUUCAAUUGCCUGUAGUCAAUGCAUAUUCUCAUGGUGCCGUCCUUCUUCUUCACAAACAGAAUCGGUCCAUCCCAUGGUGACACACUAGGCCGAAUGAACCCCUUAUCUAGGAGUUCAUGAAGCUGAUCCUUCCAUUCUUUCAACUCCACCGGUGCUAUAUGAUAUGGCAGAAUUGAAAUGGGCUGAGUGCCUGGCACCAGGUCAAUACCAAAAUCAAUAUCCAUGUUCGAUGGCAUGGCUGAUAGGUUUGCAGGAAAUAAAGCUUCCCCGGUCAAGCUCUUACUGAAAUAUGCCAUCAACAAGUCACUUUUCUCUCCAACACUUCUCAUUACAUUAUAAUAAACCCUCAGGUGAGCUACCGGAUCUCCGCACCAAUUAUACAAGUUAAAUUUUGGCAUUUUAAACCCUGGGGGCAAGCGAACAUCAAGGGACACAGACAAUUCUGUCACGACCCGCAUUUCCCACCAUCCUGAGUCGUGAUGGCGCCUACUAAUGAGGUCUAGGAAAGCCAAUCCUUAGCUACUUACGUCAUUAACACAUUUCUUCUCUUUUAACGAAUACAGGUCAAUAACAUGAAAACAACGGAACUUUGAAUAAUUCAGCGAAAGAUAAAUUUUAUUUUAUUUUUUAUAUGUGAACAUUAAUUUCUAAUACAACCAUUUGAAUUUCGACUACCCAGAACUGAUGUCACAGUUUCACAUACGGUCAAAGAAUACUACACAUAAAGGUAUGAAAGAAAUAAACUCUACACUGUCUCCGUAAGUACAUGAGAGAAACAUGAAUGUAGAUGAAGGAGACGCCAGGGCCUGUGAACGCCUGCAGGGCUACCUCGGGUCGCCUGAUGAAUAUGAUCCAGCAAUCUCACUGCGGUCCAAAUUUUCAACACUGGGGUCUGCACAAAAGAGUGCAGAGUGUAGUAUCAGCACAACCGACCCCAUGUGUUGGUAAGUGCCUAGCCUAACCCCGACAAAGUAGUGACGAGGCUAGACCGGAAUACCAUAUAAACUUGUGCAAUAUAUAUAUAUAUAUAUAUAUAUAUAUAUAUAUAUAUAGGAUAACAUAUAUCACAGAAAUUCAAGAAAAUAAUAAGGAACAUCAAUAAAUUAUCCCUAACACGGAUAAGGAAAAUAAAAGCAUACUUCACUAUUUGUAAAAAUGUCCUUGCAGGCGUACAACCCGAUCCCAUUGCUCAAUAUUUCCGUAGUAGGCGUACCACCCGCUCCCAUUUCAUCAAACCUCGUGGUAGGCGUACCACCCGCUCCCAUUACAUUAUAUCAAUAGUUCUUCCAAAUGAAAUUUUCUCUAAUAAUGCAACAAUUAAUACGAAUCCAUAAGACAACAAGUACACAAUAAUUAUGAUUCACUGAGGAAAACAAAUAAUGACAAGUAGUAAUUAAUUGUGGGCUUUAAGGAGCAAUUAGGAAAUUUCGUAUUUAAUGUGUCGAAUGUCAAGUAGCAAUUAAGUCACAUAAUCAUGUAGAAAUUAUGGCAUAAAUUCAAGACAUGACGUUGCACAAGGAUACCUUGAUUCAACAAUAACAAGUAACACAAUAAAGGGAGAUGUCAACACACAGAGUCACAGUCAUAGCGGAAUAAGAAAAUUAAAUGCACUUGAACUGAUAACAAUAAGAAAUCAUAACAAAAGGCAUUAGGUGCACGACAUCGCCCUUCAUUCUUGUACUCUCACCCUUACCAAGUAAUGAUAUCAUAAAAUGUGCACGACAUCACCCUUCGUGCUUUUACUCUCUUUCCUCACAUAUAAUCAAUAGAAUCGGCACAGAAUGGACCAUCGUGCGGCAUGACAUCACCCUUCAUGCUUUUACUAUAUUUCCUCACUAGAAUCGGCACAGAAUGGUACAUCGUGCGGCAUGACAUCACCUUUCGUGCUUUACACUAUUUCCUUACAAUAAACAAACAAUGCACGGCAUCACCCUUCGUGCUUUACACUCUUUCCUCACAAUAAACAAACAAUGCACGAAAUCACCCGUCGUGCUUUAACACUCUUCCUCACCCAAUCAACAAUCACAAACAAGGGAAAGGGAAUAAUAACAAAUAAUUAAAACUCGGCAAGGGUACAACAUCAAUAAUCUCAACGUCCUAGCAAGGGAAAAUAUUCAAUAAUCAACAAUGUGCUAGCAAGGGAAUAGAUCAAUAACUCUUUCUCUUUCUUUCACUUUCAUCUCAUAGUUCACAUUAUCACUCGAGCCAAUGCUUCAAAGAUUUACUUAUCUCAUAUACCUUCACAAUUUGUAUUUCAACUCGAGCCAACGGCCUACGUAGUUUAAAGAUCAGAAAUUCCUUUCACAUACUCUUUACAACAUAUAGAAGUCAUCAAUUAAGCAUGGAAGAUAUAAUAAAAUCCAAACUAUUCGCAAAAUAAGCACAUCACGGUCAUGCUAGACACCAAUGUAUAGAUACUCGUCACCAUGCCUAUACAUCGCACUCGGUUUAGCAAAUAACAUAUAAGACUCACUCCUAUUCCCUUAAGCCAGGGUUUAACCAAACACUUACCUUGAUGCCUUGAAUUCAGCUCAAGCCUCAACUAUGGCUUUACCCCUUGGUUCAACCACAAAAUCACUCAAAUCUAGUCACAAAUUACUUAAAUACAUCAACAAAUGCUAAAUGAAUCAAUUUGAAUGCAUAAAAAUGAAUUUCCCAAAGUUUUACCCUAAAAGUCCAAAAACGCCCCCGGGCCCACGUGGUCAAAACUCGAAGUUUGAAACAAAACGCAGUCAUCCAUUCCCCCAAGAAUCCAUAUCUAUGAUUUGUUUUGAAAUCAGACCUCAAAUUGAGGUCCAAACCCCCAAUUUUGAGAAACCCAGGUUCUACCCAAAACCCCCAAUUUUACCCAUGAAAAUGAUUAAAUUUAAGUGAAAAACAUGUUAAAUGAUUGAAGGAAUUAAGUAAAAAUCGACUUACAAAUAAUUUGGAGGAAGUUUUGUCCUUGAAAAAUCGCCUAUAGGGUUAGGGUCUUGAAAGAAUGGUGAAAUAUGGUGGAAAAACGACUAAGUAUAAAAAUUGUUGGGCUGCGAAUGUAGGAUUUGCGAAGCAGGGUUCACAAUUGCAAACCCUGCAGGCAUGGGAAUUGCGACAUUUUUGUUUGCAUUUGGGAACUCAGGCCUAUCAGAGGAGAUUCGCAUUUGUGACUAAAGUCUCGCAUUUGCGAGCCCUUGAUCUUCGCAGUUGCGAAUGUUGGCUUCGCAGUUGCGAACAUGGACAGGCCUGGGCUGGUUUCGCAAAUUCGAACCAGCCUUCGCAUUUGCUAGAGCUGGACCUUCACAUUUGUGAAUGAUGGCCUCGCAUCAAAGCCUGCAGAUAAGUGAUACCAGAUUUUCCAAAAAUGUAGAAAUGCAAUCCGACACCUAUCUGAAACUCACACGAGCCCUCAUGGCUCUAAACCAAACAUACACACAACCUCAAAAAUAUCAUACGGACUUAUCCGUGCGAUCAAAUCGCCAAAAUAAUAUCAUAUACAUCGAGUUAAGCCUCAAAAUUUAUAAUUCCUUCCAAGUUUUCAUAAAGCAUCAAAUUUUCCAUUUUAAGUCCGAAACACGUUAAACGACGUCCAUUUUUAACCAAACUUUACAGAAAGCACUUAAACCAUAUCUCGAUACCAAUACGUUCUAAUCGAAAUUCAUUUCCAAUUUUCUUAAAUAUUUUCAAAAAAUAAUUUCACACAAAAAUUCGUUUCUUGGGCUUGGGACCUCAGAAUUCAAUUCCUGGCAUGCGCCCAAGUCCCAUAUUUUCCUGGCGGACCCUCCAGGACCAUCAAAUUCAUGGGUCCGGGUUCGUUUACCCAAAAUAUUGACCAAAGUCAAAUUUAUUCAAUUUAAUAUCAAAAUUUUGUGUUUUUCCUCACAAAAAUCGUAUUUGAGCUUUUCGGCUAGUGCCUGGAAUGCGCACGUAAAUCGAGGUAACCCUAAGUGGGGUUUUCAUGGCCUCGUAAGUACAAAAUAGUAAGUAAACAAGUGAUGACCCCUAUGGGUCAUCACAUCCUCCACCUCUAAAACAACCGUUUGUCCUCGAACGGACGAAAGAAAUACCUGAGUCGGGGAAAGAUGAGGAUAACGACUCCGCAUAUCAGACUCGGACUCUCAGGUCGAUGCCUCAGGGGGCUAACCUCUCCAUUGAACACGAACAGAAGGAAAACUCUUGGAUCUCAACUGAUAAACUUGUCAGUCUAGAAUAGCUUCCGGCUCCUCCUCAUAAGAAAAAUCCCUGUCCAAUUAGACAGUGCUGAAAUCUAACACGUGGGCUGGAUCGCCGUGAUACCUCGAAGCAUGGAUACAUGAAAUACCGGAUGCAUAACUGAUAAGCUAGGCAGUAAUGCAAGUUUAUAAGCCACCUCUUCCACCGGAUCAAGAAUCUCAGACGGACCAAUGAACCUAGGGCUAAGCUUGCCCUUCUUCCCUAAUCUCUUCACGCCCUUUUUAGGCAACACUAGGAGCAAAACCCGCUUACCAACCAUGAAAGCUACAUCUCGAACCUUAUGAUCAACAUAGCUCUUUUGCCUAGACUGAGCUGAACGAAGCCUAUCCUGAAUGAUCUUGACCUUGUCCAAGGCCUCUUGAACCAAAUCUGUACCCAACAAUCGAGCCUCUUCCGGCUCAAACCAUCUAAUUGGAGACCGACACCGCCUACCAUAUAAGGCAUCAUAAGGAUCCAUUUGAAUGCUCGACUGGUAACUAAUGUUGUAGGCAAACUCAGCUAAGGGCAAAAACUGAUCCCACGAGCCUCCAAAAUCAAUGAUGCAGGAUCAGAGCAUAUCCUCUAAAUCCUGAAUAGUCCUCUCAGACUGAUUGUCCGUCUGGGGAUAAAAGGCCGUGCUCAACUCCACCUGAGUGUCCAACUCUUGCUGAACUGCCUUCCUGAAAUGCGAGGUAAACUGUGUACCCCUGUCCAAAAUGAUAGAUACUGGCACACCAUGAAGGUAAACAAUCUCCCGGAUAUAGUUCUCAGCUAACCUUUCGGAUGAAGAAGAGACAGCCACAAAAUAAAAUGCGCUGACUUGGUCAGCCUAUCAACAAUGACCCAAACUGCGUCAAACCUCUUCCGGGUCAACGAAAGUCUAGUAACGAAAUCCAUGGUAAUCCUCUCCCAUUUCCACCUGGGAAUCUUAAUCCUCUGGAAUAAUCCUCCAGGUCUUUAAUGCUCAUACUUGACAUGCUGAGAGUUCAAACAUCGAGCCACAUACGCUACAAUAUCUUUCUUCAUUAUAUGCCACCAAUAUUGCUACCGCAAAUCCUGGUACAUCUUCACAACGCUUAGAUGAAUAGAAUAUCGGGAACUAUGGGCCUUCGUUAAGAUCAACUCCUGAAUCCCAUCAACAUUAGGCACGCAAACUUGCCCAUGCAAUCUCAAAAUACCAUCAUCACCUAAGGUCACCUGCUUGGCACCUCCACGCUGCACCGUGUCUCUAAGGACAUAUAAAUGGGGAUUAUCAAACUGUCGAUCACGGAUAAGAUCCAAUUAGAAAUAACGAGUGAGCAUGUAAGUUAACACUCAUCUAGGCUUAGAAAUAUCCAACCUUACAAGUCGAUUGUCCAAGUCCUGAACAUCCAAAGCAAGCGGUCUUUGGCUGACCGGAAUAUAAACAAGAUUCCCCAUACUGGCUGACUUCCUACUCAAUGCAUCAGGCACCAUAUUGGCCUUUUAUGGGUGAUAAAAGAUAUUAACAUCAUAAUCCUUCAACUACUCCAACCACCGCCUCUACCUCAAAUUCAAUUCCUUUUGCUUGAACAAGUACUGUAGGCUCUUGUGAUCAGUGAACACCUCACAUGCCACUCCGUACAGAUAAUGGCUCCAAAUCUUCAGCGCGUGAACAAUAGCUGCCAACUCCAAAUCAUGCACUGGAUAGUUCUUCUCAUGAAUCUUCAACUGCCUUGAAGCAUAGGCAAUAUCCCUUCCGUCCUGCAUCAAUACUGCACCAAGCCCCAUACAGGAAACAUCAUAAUAUACUAUGUAAUGCCCUGAUCCUAUGGGCAAAACCAACACCGGUGCUGUAGUCAGAGCUAUCUUGAGCUUCUAAAAGCUCACCUCACACUCGUCCGACCACCUGAACUGGGCACCACUGUGGGUCAACCUGGUCAUCGGGGAUGCAAUAGAUGAAAACCCCUCCACAAAUCGACGAUAGUAGCCUGCCAAUCCCAAGAAACUCCGAAUCUCUGUAGCUGAUGCUGGUCUAGGCUAGUUCUUAACUGCCUCUAUCUCCUUCGGGUCCACCUGAAAACUCUCUACUGAUACAACAUGAUCAAGAAAUGUAACUGAACCCAACCCGAAUUCACACUUCGAGAGCUUUGCAUAUAACUUACUCUCCUUCAAAGUUUGAAGAACCGCUCUACGUUGUUACAUGUGCUUCUCCCGGCUGCGGGAGUAUAUCCAUACAUCAUCAGUGAACACUAUCACUGAUGAAUCCAAAUAAGGCAUGGAUACCCAGUUCAUGAAGUCUAUGAAAGCUGCUGGGGCAUUUGUUUACCCGAAUGACAUAACUAAGAACUCAUAAUGCCCGUACCGAGUGCGGAAAGCUGUCUUAGGGACAUCGGAUGCCCUAAUCCACAACUGAUGGUAACCAGAUCGCAAGUCAAUCUUGGAAGAUACCCUGGCACCCUAAAGCUGAUCGAACAAAUCACCAAUCCUCGGCAGUGGAUACUUAUUUUUGACCGUUACCUUGUUCAAUUGCUGACAAUCAAUAUCCAUCCUCAUUGACCCAUCCUUAUUCUUGGAAAAUAACACCGGCGCACCCCAAGGUGAGACAUUGGUCAAAUGCCCUUCUCAAGAAAAUCCUGCAACUGUUCUUUUAACUCAUGCAACUCCAGUGGGGCCAUACGAUAUGGCGGAAUAGAAAUAGUUUGAGUACCCAGAACUUGAUUAAUGUAGAAAUCAAUACCCCUGUUAGGUGGCAUACCUGACCGGUCUGAAGGAAAAAUAUCAGGGAACUCAGAACAGGCGCAGAAUAUAGAGGGAACCUCAGUACUGGAAUCCCGAACAUAAGCUAAAUAAGCCUAACACCCCUUCUCGACCAUACGCCGAGCCUUCACAUACGAUAUGACACUGCGGGUAAAAUGGUCUGGAAUCCCUCUCCACUCUAAACAAAGCAUACCCGGUAAAGCUAAGGUCACAGUCUUGGCAUGACAAUCCAAGGCAGCGUGGUAAGGUGAUUGUCACACCUCCUUUUGGAUACUACAACCCGGCGAAGGGCGUAGACAAGGCAGUUUUUCCAAUUAAAGGACAAUUGAAACGGUAUUCCAUUUUGAGAGAAUUUCAGAGUCGCACUUGGGAGAAUUAUGGUGUCCCAAGUCACCGGUUAGAAUCCCGAAUAAGGAAAAGAAUGACUUUGCUUACAGUCCACGAACCAGAAAUCCGGGUAUGAAAUUCUAUCAACCUGGGAGAAGGUGUUAGGCAUUACCGGGUUCCGUGGUUCUAGCACGGUCGCUCAACUAUUAUAUUUGGCUUAAAUUAUCUAAUUUUAGAACAUGUUUUUACUUAUGUGCUUUUUAACCUUAAACUGCUUUUAUUAUUAUUUUUGAAGAAAAUUGCAACGUCAUUAAAACACAUCUCGAACCACGUCACAUAAAUGCACCCGUGGUUUUUGACAUAUUUGAACUUCGUUGAUAUUUAGAUCUGGGUCACAUAAAUGUGCACCCGAAUUUAGGAAAAGUAAAAUUAUUAAAGAACGCGCCUAAAGUGACUAACGUGUUAUUAAUUUUAUGGGAGGCCAUGAAAAUUUACUAGAUGGCACGUCCCGAGUUUCUAAGUAUUUAAAUGUGUAAGUAUUUAAAGAGGGCCACACACUUGGUGAUUCUAUUUGGCGCGGCGCACCUCACGUGUUUUAAAAAAUCAUCUUAAAGAGAAAACUAUCAUUUUUCGACCAGGAUUGUCUCUAAGAACCUCAUUAUUCAAACUGAAAAUCAUCAGAAGCCAGCCCAGGAACAACUUCGGCAAAUUGGGCUUUGAAGCCAACCCUAAAAUCCAGUAAAUUUCGUUUAACAAAUUAUUCAACAUUUGGGCCUUGAGACUGACCGAACAGAUAGAGUUGGGCUCAAAUUUAAUUUCUAAUGGUUCAAUAACGGAUCUGAUAACUUAAUAUCCUCAAACUAGAAAUCCAUAACAAUUUGAUCAUUUUUUGGACACUGAAAAUGAUGGGGUAAACGAUAUAAGUACUGAUAUUAAAUGAUAAACUACCUAUUCUGGAUUUUAGUUUAAAUUCUUAUUGAUGAACACACUUAAAAUAAACAAAGGCGCCGAAUGGCUAUCGACAUUGACUCAAAAGAAUAUACUCAUUUACAGCUUGGUCCACACAAUUCACAAAUAUUCGAUUCAUUCUCGUGACUCGGCUCAUCAUGACCAAAGCAUUUGAAAAGACAAAGAAAAAUUGCAGAAUCUUACUAAGCUAAUCACCACUAUUGAUUAUUUGAAUAAUACUACAUAUUACUUUUAAAGUCCUGGCUAUGAAUUAACACAUGACUAACAUAGCAAUGCAUUCUAGACUAACUCCAAUCCGAUACUAAUGAACACAAUUCAAUGGUUUUAUACAGUCCAAGACAGUCCAGAUUUAUUGACAUUCAGAAAACUUAACUAAAUCAAGGAAUCUACUCGAAAUGUAAGAACAAUAAACAACAGAUUUAUAGCAAAAUUUUGUAGCUGACUUCAUCUCAAUAUUAGCUGGAUUUCUACAUUUGCAUCAGGAUUAGUAAGUGUACCUGGAAAUUGCGAAUAGGAAGGAAAAGUGAGAUCAACAGCAGUAGAUGGCAAAGCAACAGAUCACAGCCACAGUAAAGCCAUCUAAAACCCAGCAGAGCACCAAAAUGGGCAAGAUGAACCCGAUGAACGACAAAAUCAAUGUAACAAACACCUCAAUGGUGCCAACAAAAUCCCAGGACUCAACUUAGUAGCCAUUCUUAAACCUCUAUCUGAAUGGGAAGCAUUUGGAAAUAAACAAGUCCACGAAAUAGUGAAAAUUUGAUUUGGCUGUCUAUAUGUUCAUUUAUGGCGAUUCAGCCUUUUUUCUUUCCUUGAAAGGCAAGAAAAUGUUCCUUUAUAUAGGCAUACCUUAGGGUUUGCCAUUCAGAACUUUCUUUGCAUCUUGAGUCCCUUUUUAACUCUUUUUAGUUUGUUAGUCCUUUUAUUAAUGGCUUGUUUCCCAAGUCAGCUACUUAUAGUCUUUUACACCUAAAGCCCCUACUAGAACUUUCCUAUUUCAGUUAUACUGAGAUUCCCUAAUUUGAAUUUCCUAAACUAACCCUUAUGUGCCUUGUAUUACUAAAAAACUUCCAAAAUUAAAUUGGACCUACAUUGCGCUUGGAUUGAACCCUAACAUCUCGAUUGACCUUAUUCAAACUUCAAAAUUAAGAAUUACCUACAAAAUCAAAUAGUAUUGAUUUUAUUAUCAAACAAACCCAACGAUUAGCACAGAUUCAAUCAUGAGGAGAAGAGAAAAAAAAUCUAAAGCACUAACCAAACAAGAAUCGGAGCACAUGUGAAUAUAUUUAGUCAAGUUAUCAAACUGAGCUAAUUAAGAAACGAUAAUUUGAAGAUUUGAGCUUUGCAUAAUGGAGGAAAAAUAAAGGACUCCUCAGGUACAAAAUCCAAAGAGAACCAGAAAAAAAUAAAAACAAGGCAUACAUUAAUCAAAACCCUAAAUUUUAAAUCAUCUAAUCAUGCAGGCACAUAAUCGAAGAGGAACAGAAAAAUACAACUCAGAGGUGAAAAGCUAAACCAAGUAGUACUCCGAUUCAAGGUCCAGAAUGAUGUGAAUAUUUGUUCUUUGUCAAGAACAAACGAACACAUUGUCUCGUGCCUCGAAUCGAUCUCUGGGCCAAUGAAUUUUGAAAAUUCGAGCCAGUUAGGUUUUAGGGUUCUGCUUAUUUUGAUGAUUUGAAAUUUGAAGAAUUUUGGGGAUGUUUGAAGGAGAUUGAGGAAAGAUUUGGACUGAGGGAGAGACGGGGGUCGCUUGGUAUUGAAUUGGGAUCAAUUGGGCACAAACGCCGCCAUGGACGGCGGAGCAACUGUGAAUUCAAACUAAGAUUUGACAAGUUUGAAGGGGAUUCGAGGGUAGCUGAGGUUAGAUUCGCGAUGAGGAUAGAAAGGGAUUCUAUGGUGUAAUUUUGGAAGGCAUUGGUGCUAUGCCUCCGCCACGGCGAUUUCCGGCCGGCGGCGGACGGUGGUGUUAGGGUGGUUUAGUGGUGGCGUUUCACUACAGGUUGGACUGUACAAGGAUGAAAUGUUUUGGCUCUAAGGCUAUUACACCACCUUUGGACAUUUUUAUGUAAAAUGCCAGGCUCUACGUGAACCGUUAGAUUAAGGCCAUGGACGGCCAAGAUUGAAGGCAACCAAAUGACGUCGUUUGGCUUCCCUGGAGAUGGACCUGGUAGGGGGACCAUUGGGCUAGGCGGGGUUUUAGCUUGUUUGGGCUGGGAUUUUGUUAAAGGGUGGCCCAUAUUUGGCCUUCAAAUUGUCCAGACCUUCUCUUUUCCAAAUUCUUUUCAUUUUUCAAUUUUCUCUCGUUUUUUCAAAAAUCAUUAAAACUCCUAAAUUAAUUACAAAAUCUCAAUUUUACCUAAAAGAUGUAAAACUAAUCCUCUAUAAUUAUUAUCAAAACAAAGUUAAAGGGAGGAAAAAAUAAAAAGCCAAUUGAACCUUUUUUUUUGGAUUUCUCUUUCUUCUUAUAAAAUGAACCAAUUACUUAAUAAUUCUAAAAAAAAUGCAAAGAUAAUUCCUAAAUACACAUGCCACAUAUUUUUUAUUAAUAGAUAUGCACAAACAAAUGUAACCAUUAACAGAAAAUGCCGCAAAAAAUCAGAAUUGCAAAUAAACAAAAGAAAUUAUUUUGUUUUGAAUUUAUGAGAGUAAUUCAUAUAGGGAAAAAAUCACAUGCUCAUAACUGCCCCUCUUUGCGCAAAAACACGAAGAGCUUUCGUGCAGAGAUAAGUGAGCGAACAUGAGCAAUUUUUGCCCUUCUCAAUACUCUGUGAGAAACAUUUUGAAAAGCUUGACCGCACCCUGCUUUAGAGGUUGCCUACAUAUCCUCGGCCGAAGAGGAAUCAAAUUAGUGUAGUUCAUGAGUGUUUGGUAGUUGGGACUACCGAGGCUGUGGUUUUACUGUUGUUGCUGCUGCUAGACCCCCUUAUUAUACCAUUGUGAAAAAUAAAGAAGCUAGACUAAGCCAUUAACUAUGGAUUACUAGAAAACCUAUCUAGAUCUUCCGACUCGCUCUGAAUCCUUGUUGCUUUGUUGUCUUGUAUUUCUUGUUGUGGACUCAUUGUUGCUUUAUUGACUGGUAUUUCUUCUUGUGGAACUUCUUGUUGCCUUGUUGACUGGUAUUUCUUCUUGUAAACUCCCAGUUGCCUUGUUGACUUCUUGUUUUCUCUUCUUCUGUGUUUGAUGCCGAAUCUCUGGACUUGAGAUGUACUCCAUUUGAAAGCAUUCCCUCAUUUUGCAUGUGCGCGCCUGACUACUUGAACUUUGCAAUUUGAAAGAUAUUCCCUUGUUCUACAGGUGGGCGCCUGAUCAUCGAGUCUUGGCUUCUGAAGAAUAUGCCCUUGUUUUCCAGGUGGGUGCCUGACUUUCAAAAACUUCAAAUUUCGAAACAUAUCCCCUUGUUCUACAGGUGGGCGCCUGAUUAACAAAACUUGAAAUUUGAAAAAUAUUCCCUUGUUCUACAGGUGGGCACCUAAUUACCAAGACUUGAAUUUUUGAAAAAUAUUCCCUUGUUUUACAGGUGGACGCCUAAUUACUAAAACUUGAAAUUUUGAAAAUUAUUCCCUUGUUCUACAGGUGGGCGCCUAAUUAAUAAAACUUGAAAUUUUGAAAAAUAUUCCCUUGUUCUCCAGGUGGGUGCCUGAUUACCAAGACUUGAAUUUUGAAAAAUAUUCCUUUGUUCUACAAGUGGGCGCCUGAUUGCCAAAACUUGAAAUUGUGAAAAAUAUUCCCUUGUUCUUCAAGUGGGCGCCUGAUUGUCAAAAACGUGAAAUUUUUAAAAAUAUUCCAUUGUUCUACAGGUGGGCGCCUGAUUACCAAAAAUUGAAAUUCGAAAAAUAUUCCCUUGUUCAAAAGGCAGGCGCCUGGCUACUAAAACUUGAAAUUUUUAAAAAUAUUCCCUUGUUCUCUAGGUGGGCGCCUGAUUACCAAGACUUGAUUUUUGAAAAAUAUUCCCUUGUUCUACAGGUGGUCGCCUGGUUACCAAAACUUGAAUUUUGAAAAAUAUUCCCUUGGUCUACAGGUGGGCGGCUGAUUACCAAAACUUUGAAAUUUUGAAAAAUAUUCCCUUGUUCUAUAGGUGGGCGCCUGGUUAUUAAAACUUGAAAUUUUGAAAAAUAUUCCCUUGUUCUACCGGUGGGCGCCUGAUUGCUAAAACUUGACUUUUGAAAUAUAUUCCCUUGUUCUACAGGUGGGCGCCUGAUUGCUAAAACUUGACUUUUGAAAUAUAUUCCGUGUUCUACAGGUGGGUGGCUGAUUACUAAAACUUGGAAUUUGAAACAUAUUCUACAGGUGGGUGCCUGAUUACUAAAACAUUAAAUUUUGAAAAAUAUUCCCUUGUUCUCCAGGUGGGCGCUUGAUUACCAAAACAAAAUUUUUGAAGAAUAUUCCCUUCCUCUACAGGUUGGUGCCUGAUUAUCAAAACUUGAAUUUUGAAAAGUAUUCCCUUGUUCUACAGGUGGGCGCCUGAUUGCCAAAUCCAAAAAAACAGAACACAAGAAAUUUUUCUUCCCCCAGUUUGGUGCUGGGCGGAUCCGUGAGUGUUAAUCAAAUCUCUCUACCAAAUAUCUCUAAAGUUGAGUCCCAUUAUCGAUGAGGGUCCUGACAAUUUUUAACUGUUGACAACUUCAAGACUAUGUUAUGUUUCUGAAAAGGUAUUAGUUUCCAUCAUGUCUUUCUAUGAGUUAUAUCUGCUGGGGGUCUGCUGGUGACGGGGGAAACUACUUCCUAUUAUCCAGGCGAACCUGACAACUAAUGUUGACUCUUGCUGGGGAAGUAUCUAAUCUAAGUCUCAUUUUUCAGGAGGGUCCUGAUGACUUUGAUUGACUCUGGUUGCGGAAAUGUCUAAGUCCCAUCUUUCAGGGAGGUCCUGAUAACGCUUGUUGACUCAGCUGGGAAAAUUUGAAAUUUUUCCUCUAAAUCCCAUUUUCCAGGAGGGUCCUGAUGACUUUUCUUGACUCUUAGACUCAGCUGGGGAAAUAUUUCCUCUAAGUCCCAUUUUUCAGGAGGGUCCUGAUGACUAUUAUCGACUCUUGUUGAGUCUAGCUGGGGAGAUUCUUGCUUUAAGUCCCAUUUUUCAGGAGGGUCCUGAUGAUUCUUAUCGACUCUUAUUGGGGAAAUAUCUAAUCUAAAUCCCCUUUUUCAGGGGGUUUCUGAUGAUUCUUGUUGACUCUGGUUGGGGAAGUAUUUGGGUUAGACCAUGCCACUCGAUUGUUUAUGUCCUAAGCUAAGUCCCAUUUUCCAUGAGGGUCCUGACAACUCUAACUGAAUCCUACCUUUACACACAAGUCAUUACUGUGCCGUUUGUUAUCCAUGAUUACUCCUAACCUUGAAAUGGUUGGCUCGUGACAUUCUUGUUGAAGACAACCUCUCGUUGUCGUGUUCCAUUGUGUUCAAAUUUCCAUGUUGAUGACGAGUUGCUCAAACUGCUCAGCUGACCCCUCAAGAUCUCUAGGCUUUAUUUUUCCCGCCUAUCAUUGUGUUACAUUACUAACUCCUGGCUGGAGUCGUUUGCAUCCUUCCCCAUGUAUCAUGCUUUAAUUAAACCUCCCAUCCUUGCAGUUUCGCUUUGUUCUUUAUCUUUGUGUCACCUUUCCAUUCCCUUGUCACAAUCCUUGCCCCCUUUCUUGAAAUCAACUAGUCUGUCUAUGGUAUUUGGUUGGCCUGCCUUUUAUGCCUUUACUUCACUCCAUGCUUCAUGUUGCACCGCCGACUCUUCUCUGGAAUUAUUUUAUACCCCUUUCCAGCGAUUGAUGGGUUGAUAUAUAUCGUGUUGGGUCAACUACUCAUGUCCAUUUCCACCAUUGUGUUGUGCUUUUUCCUCUUUUGCUAGAAGACUUAUACCCUUCGCGGACAAUUGCUGAGUUAGGAUGUUAUGCUUGGCUGAUGGCUUCAUUUUAUUUCUCAUCUUGGUGUUACAUUUCUGAGCCUUCCCCAGAAAAUCCUUAUCCCUUUCUUGAGAUUACCUGGUCUCUUUGUGAUGCUUGAUUGACUCUAGAUCUUUACUUCCUCGCCACCUUAUAUAUUUCACUCUCGAUUCUUUACCGGAAUUCGUUUCAUGCCCCUUUCUGUAUGGUACUUCUUCACUUUGCCGAUUCUUGUCUCUUCCAUCGGUUGCAGCUUUAUUAAUCAUCCCCUUUGCUGUUCCACACUUGUUAUCUUUGUUACAUCUUUGGGGCGUCAUGCGCUUUGUUCCUUUGGGAGUUUGAUAAUCGACUUUGACAUUCCUUUUGUUUGCUUAAACAAAAGAUUUUAGACUUGAAAGAAAAAUGAAAUGCAAAGACUCUAAACGGUAUUUAGAGCAAGGAAUUCCAGACUUGCUAACCAUUGAAAAAACAAGAAAGAAGACUUAUCUGAAAGGGAACCACUGGUUCUUGCGAUCAUGACAUGCACUUUGGCCUAUUCGACCCAAUCUGUUUCGAUGACCGACCUUCUGUUACCAUGAUUUUGUCGUUGUGACCUUUCCAAACCAAUCCUUUUAACAAAACCCUAACUCGUCUUGCCCUGCAGUGUUCAUUCAUCAAUAGCCUCUUUCUAAGUUUUGCUUUACCUUACCUUCGCCUCACGGUGCCUGUGAAGGUUUUCACCGAUAAGACUCUCUCAUUUUAUUUUCCCUCAUCCUCUCGUCGCCUUGUGGUGCCCGUGAGGAUUUCACCAAUAAGACUCUCUCAUUUCAUUGUCUCUCGCGUCUGCCUUGGAGUGCUGUCCCUAACAUGAAUACCCUCUACCUACUCAACUCAGCAUCUUUUGAAGACUGAUUAGAAGGUCUUUCUUUGGAUCGUAACGUGGUCUUUUGGAUAGGGUUAGAAAGAAAGGGUAUCAAAGGCUCAAAGUAGUUCGCAUGGGUUCAAAAUUACAUCUUUCAGAAUCGGAUUUCUUACCACAAGCACAGUUUCUGUCCCAGUUACUUGCUUGGGGACUUUUGGAUUUUUAUUUUGAUGAGACCGAACCGUGAGGCUGUCACAACCACAACUUCAGCCCAGGUUUCUUGCUUGGGAACUUUUUGUUUUUUAUUUUGAUGAGACCAAACCGUGAGGCUGCCGACGUAUCCUUUUAAAAGGAAUCAGGUCAAAUGUAGUUCAUGAAGAUUCCUUAUUUUUGUUGUUGUUUUCUUCUCCCUUUUCUAUUUUUCUUCUCUCACUUUCUUUGUUUCGUUUUCUUUUCUUUCUUUCUUUUUCCUUUUUCUCUUUUCUCUUUUGUUUUUCUCUUUUCUUGUUUUUCCUUUUUCUAUUUUUUCUUCUUUUUCUUCUCUUUUUUUGUUUCUUUUUUUUCUUUCCUUUCCUUUUACUACCUUCUCACACCUGCGUUUCUGACUUUUGUUACUGAUUUCGAAAGAGGGGUAUGGAAGAAAGUAAUUAAAUCUCAAAAGGGUUAGCAAAAGAUAAAGUGUUUAGGUAGGAGACUAAGAUCCCUUCGUCAUUUCAAUCUUCAAAAUUUGCCAAGUACAAACAGAUGUCAAGUAUAAACAAUAUUCUAAAGAAAAUCAUACAUAAUAUCUUUAGACAGCAUCCGCGUUGAUUGCCAUUUUCGCACAUUUUCCUUCCACAUCCAUAAGAUACAAUGCCCUAUUGUACAAUACUCAUGAUACGAUGAAUGGCCCCUGCCAUUUUAGAGUGAAUUUGCCUUUCGCCUCGGCCUGGUGAGGGUGGAUGUGCGUUAGUACCAGUUGACCUACUUCAAACUUUCUAGGGUGCGCUUUCUUGUUAUAUGCCCUGGCCAUCCUUUGUUGAUACAACUGGCCGUGACAGACCGGCGCCAAACUUUUCUCAUCAAUCAAACUCAACUGUUCCAACCGAGUUUUGACCCAUUCUUCGUCAUCGAUUCCUGCUUCGGCCACAAUUCUAAGAGAGGGGAUUUCGAUCUCGGCCGGGAUUUUCGCCUCCGUGCCAUAUACCAAUAAGUAAGGAGUGGCCCCCACUAAAGUGCGGACAGUGGUGCGAUAGCCUAAUAAUUCAAAAGGCAACUUCUCAUGCCACUGACUUGACCCUUACACCAUUUUGCAAAGUAUUUUCUUUAUGUUCUUAUUUGCUGCCUCAACCGCUCCAUUCGCCUUGGGGCGGUACGGGGUGGAGUUUCGAUGUGCGAUCUUGAACUGCUGACAUACCUCACUCAUUAGGUGACUGUUGAGGUUUGCCCCAUUAUCAGUGAUGAGUGUUUUGGAGAUACAGAACAAACAAAUAAUGUUUGUGUGCACGAAAUCGACCAUAGCCUUCUUGGUUACUGCCUUAAAGGUUUUGGUCUCAACCCAUUUGGUGAAACAGUCAAUAGCAACCAGGAUAAAUCUGUGUCCGUUGGCGGCUGCUGGCUCAAUGGUCCUAAUAACAUCCAUGCCCCAAGCAACAAAAGGCCAUGGUGCCGACAUCGCAUGCAAUUCAGUUAGAGGAGAGUGAAUUAGGUCUCCGUGUACCUGACAAUGGUGGCAUUUGCGUACAAAGCUGAUACAAUCCCGCUCCAUGGUAAGACAAUAAUACCCUGCCCGGAGAAUUUUCUUUGCCAAAAAAUAUCGGCUCAUAUGUGGCCCGCAGAUGCCAGCAUGCACCUCAUUCAUGAUGGCCGUCACCCUCUUACCAUCCACGCAUCUUAGCAAACAAAUAUAUGGUGUUCUUUUGUAUAAUAUCCCUCCACUGAAGAAGAAUCCACUUGACAAAUGAUAGAUUUUUCUCUUUUGGUCACUCGUGGCUUGCAUCGGGUACACAUCUUUCCUGAUAUAAUCCUCGAUGUCGUGAAACCAAGGCUCGCCAUCAAAAGUCUUCUUCCACCAUAUUGCAAUAAGCAUGAUGAUCGUGGACCCGAAUAUGUAGCGGGUCAACAUAGACCGUAUCCGGGUGGUUUAACAUUGAUGCCAAAGUGGCCAGGGCAUCAGCAACCUCAUUGUGAAUUCUGGGGAAUCGCUGAGAGAUCACGCAAGUAUUGCCGGUAUGGUAUGAGUUUUAAGUCCCUCGUUUCCCAGUCCCCUUGAAUCUGAUGUACCAGAAGGUCUGAGUCUUCCAAGACCAAGACUUCCUGGACACCCAUGUCUGCUGCUAAUCUCAGACCCAAAAUGCACGCCUUGUACUCUGCCAUAUAGUUGGUGCAAUAAAAACGGAGUUGAGCUGUGACUAAGUAAUGAUGCCCUUCUUCAUAAAUGAGUACCGCUCCUAUUCCAACGCCUUUCAUAUUGGCAUCCCCAUCGAAGAACAAUUUCCAUCCCGACUUCUCAUCCCGUUCCAUUUCAUUGAUGUGCAUCACUUCCUCAUCUGGGAAGUAUGUGGUCAAGGGCUCAUAUUCUUUAUCUAUGGGAUUCUCUGCUAAAUGGUCUGCCAAUGCCUAUGCCUUCAUAGCAGUCCUGGUCUUGUAGACAAUGUCGAACUCAAUGAGCAAGCUUUUCCACUUUGCGAGCCUCCCUGUGGGCAUGGGCUUCUGAAAAAUGUAUUUCAAUGGGCCCAAUCAUGAUAUGAGAUAAGUGGUGCAUGACGACAAGUAAUGCUUCAACUUUUGGGAUACCCACGUCAAGGCGCAAUAUGUCCUCUCAAGAUGAGUGUACUUUAACUCAUAGGUCGUAGAUUUCUUGCUGAGGUAGUAUAUGACCUGCUCUUUUCUCCCUGCAACAUCGUGCUGACCCAACACGGACCUAAAUGAGUUGUCUAGGACUGUCAAAUAUAAGAUAAGAGGCCUUCUUGGUCCCGGUGGGACCAAUACUGGUGGGUUUGACAAAUAUUCCUUUAUCUUAUCAAAAGCUUACUGGCACUCUCCCGUCCAUUUUAUUGCAACAUCCUUCUUCAACAACUUAAAGAUGGGUUCGAAGAUGGUUAUGAGCUGCGCAAUGAAUCGACUAAUGUAAUUCAAUCUUCCUAGUAGACUUAUUACUUCUUUUUUGUUUCUGGGAGACGGCAACUCCUGUAUAGCUUUGAUUUUUGAUGGGUCUAGCUCGAUGCCUCGGCAGCUGACUAUGAACCUUAACAACUUACCCGAGGGAACCGCGAAUGCACAUUUUGCCGGGUUAAUUUUGAGGUCAUAUCUACGGAGCCUCUGCAAGAAUUUCCGCAGGUAUUUGACAUGAUCAGACUACUUCCUAGACUUGAUUAUUACAUCAUCCACAUAGACCUCAAUUUCCUUAUGUAUCAUAUCAUGGAAAAUGGUUGUCAUAGCCCUCAUGUAUAUGGCCCCAACGUUUUUCAAACCAAAAGGCAUUACUCUAUUACAGUACGUCCCUCAUGGUGUGAUGAACGCCAUUUUCUCCGCAUCUUCUUUGUCCAUUAAAACCUGGUGGUACCCGGCGUAACAAUCCACGAAUGGCCCGAUCUCAUGCUUUGCGCAAUUGUCAAUCAAUAUGUGAAUUUUCGGCAAGGGAAAGUUGUCCUUUGGACUUGAUUUGUUGAGGCCGCAAUAAUCGACACACUCCCUGGUUUUUUCGUCCUUUUUCGUCACAGGCACAACAUUAGCUAACCAAGUGGGGUAUCGUGUGAUGCGAAUGACUUUUUCCUCGAACUUCUUGGUCACUUCUUCGUUGAUUUUCACACUCACAUCAGUUUUGAAUUCCCUCAACUUCUGUUUAACAGGCGGGCAAGCCGUGUCAGUAGGUAAUUUGUGGACUACCGAAUCAGUGCUCAAUCCGGGCAUGUCGUCGUAAGACCAUGCAAAGACAUCUUUAUACUCAAGUAAUACUUUCGAUUAUUCCUUCCCUAAGUUGUGGCUCUAGAUGGACACUCAUUUUUCUUUCUAUGAUAUUAUCAGAACUUCCUAGAUUGAUUGCCUCUGUAUCGUUCAGGUUUGGUUUGGUUUUCUCUUCGAAUUGGGUCAUCUCUUUACUAAUCUCAUCCCAUGCUCCUUCCUCAUCAUACCCUAGUUCACCCUCAUGUUCUAUUUCCUGAAUUAUUAUUUCUGAACUAGAUCAAUCCUUAAGACUAGGCCGAAGAGUCCUUAUGCACGUCAGAUCAUUGGAACCGGUGUAAAAAUAACUAUAAAAAACAGAGAAGUUAAGAAAAAUGGGCACUAUCAAUUUUGAAGAUUAGGCUGAGGAGUCCUUAUGCAUGUCAGAUCACUGGAACCAACAUAAAAGUAACUGUACAAAAGAGAAAAGAAAGAGAAGUAAAGAGAAAUGGAAACUAUUAGCAUUGCUGAAAGGGAAAUUGCAUUUCAUUAGAAUCAAAGAUAACAGAGUUUGCGAAUCCAAACGGACGGAAAUAAAAGAUGAGUUGACAACUUUGACGCUAAUACAAACUAGACUGAAAGGAAAAUCAAAGACGACUACCACGACUCCCUCCGAGUGGGGAGAGGGGUGGCUUCCCAGUUAUUGAUUUUUGCGCAUGCUCCCACAAACUGCACGUCUUCCCCGCUCGGUCUUUCUCCUUCCUCGACCAUAUUCACCUCAUUGAAUAGCCUUUCUAACCCCUUAUCAAGAUCCCCGUCCGCGUUGAUUAGCGGGCCGGAAAUCGUUGGUCUGGGGCCAUUGCUAACACUAGAUUUGACAAAUGAUUUGGACAACCUUGAGAUAGGUUUCGGGAGAACCCAGGCUUGCUGUCUCGGCUUCCUGGCUCGCCUUAUAUAUGCGGAUGUGGGCUUGAACUCCAGGCCAAAUGUGUCCAGGUUUUUAGGAAGGGACACUGGUUGCACGAUGCCUUGCACAGAAACCCCCAACCCCUUCCCGGGCCUGAAACUAUUUUUUAACAUUUCUGAUACCACCAUGAUGGAUGCAAUUACUAUCUGGGAUUUUCUGUACUGAUACCGUAUCAAACACCUGAUAGACUCAUGGCCAUUUGCUGUAUUCAGAUUCAAUAAAAGGUACUAUUGGGUCACCUGAAGUACACUGAUUAUCUUCACCAUGCACCACAAUUUCUUGCCUGUCCCAUUCGAAUUUGAGUAUAUGAUGCAGUGUAGAUGGAACUUCCUUGGUUGCAUGAAACCAGGGCCUACCCAAUAAUAGAAUAAAAGAGACUGCUACAUCCAGCACCUAGAAUUUCAUAAUGAUCUCGACGGGCCCUAUAGUUACUUCCAGUACUAUAUCCCCUACGGUGUCUUUGCCUCCGCCGUCGAAGCCUCGAAGACAGAUGUUAUUCUUGUGGACUCUUUCACUUUCCACCUUUAGCUUGGUCAACGUAGAUAGUGGGUAAAUAUUUGCACUGGAUCCGUUGUCAACCAAAACUCGGGUGACCACAGCAUCUUCACAUUUCACAGUCAGAUAAAGAGCCUAGUUGUGCUCAGUACCCUCCAUAGGCAAUUCAUUGUCUGAGAAUGUGACUCGCUUUACCUUGAAUAUCUUGUUUGCAACCUUUUCCAAAUGAUUCAUUGUUAUCUUGUCCGGUACAUGGGCUUCAUUUAAAUCUUCAUCAACGCCCGGCGGUGCUUAUCUGAGUGUUUUAGUAAGGACAACAAAGAAAUCUGGGCUGGUGUCUUCCUCAACUGUUCUAUGAUGGAGUAGUCCUGCAUUUUUAUUUUCUUCAAAAAUUCUUCUCCUCUUCUUCUGACACAGCUUUCUUCACUGGUUCAGGGUUAUCUUUAGAGAUUCUACCUUUUCUCAACUCUUCUAGGGCAAAGUACCUUCUUGAUCGAGUUAAACCUCGUGCCUCACACACUUCCUCCCUAGCUUCUUUCCCUUUGUACAUCACUAUUGCUUGUUCAUAUCUCUAUGGAAUGGCUUUGCUGUUGAUGAUUGGGGAUGGAUUACUGGUUUCACAAUAACCAGAUCGAUGCGGACACCUUCCACACCCAUGACAGGUUCUCUAGCUGCCCCAUGUACUGUUACCUAUGCCUAUUCUCACUUUUGUGCAACCGCGCAUAUUGAGCUCCCCUGAACUACGACAACUUUAUUGCCUUCUUUUGCCCCGGUUACCAGCUUCUCACUACUUGCGACCUUGAUUGGCUCACUGGCUUUGAUCAUCAUUACUAUUUGUGAAGGUUUUUUGGACUCUCCCCUUCUCUCCUCAAUUUCAAUCAUGUUGGUUUCCUGGUGGGUCGACAACGUGUUAUGGUUAAUAUUGGGCACCUCCGGAGUCUGCACCUCAAUCCCGUGGGAGUCAAUAAGUUCUUGGAUGGCAUUCUUCAAAUGCCAACAUUUCUCGGUGUCAUGCCCAGGUGCAUCAGAACAGUAUUCACACCUGAGUGAAUAAUCUAAAUUCUUUGGGGGAGGAUUUGGAAGCUUUGCCUCAAUUGGUCUCUACAUAUCCAGUUUCCGCAGCAUGUGGAAUAGGCUAGUGUAUGAUUCUCCCAGCUGAGUGAAAGUCUUUUUUUUCUGUACCCACUCAUUUCUCACGAUCGGUUUGCCUUGGAAGGCGGGCCUCGGGGCUUGUUGGUAAUCUUUUGGAGGUGGGUGUUGGUUUUGUGGGGUUGGUUAAGUGCUUUGAGGGGGUGGCGCACGCCAUUGUGCGUGAGUAAGAGCUUGGGUAUAUGCUUGCACGUGGUGGACUGAGAUGCGAGGUUCUGGUGGUGGAAAGUAAUGCUGUGGUGGGCCAUAUGGAGUGUGUGGGUAUGUAUGGUGGUGAGGACGGGGCUAGCCAUAAUGAUAUGGUGCCUGAGGGCCGAACCAAGUUCCCGACUCCACUGUCGCUACUUCCUCCUUUUUCUUUUUCCCGAAAGCUCCUCCAGCUCCACUCUGGAUGGCUUGAGUAGUUGCCUUAAUUGCAGAGUAGCUCAUGAUUUUAUUGGAUUUGAGGCCUUCCUAAACCAUACUUCCCAUCUUGACCACUUCGUUAAAAGAUUUCCCUACCACUGAUACCAAACGCCCAAAGUAGGUAUGUUCCAGAGCUUGCAGAAAAUAGUCAACCAUCUCACUCUUCUUCAUGGGAGGAUCAACUCUGGCUUCUUGUUCCCUCCACCGAAAACCGUACUCCCUAAAACUCUCGUUGUGUUUCUUUUCCAGCUUUGUGAAAGAUAGACAAUCUGGGACAAUCUCGAGAUUAUAUUGAAAGUGACAUGUAAAUGCUUACGCUAAGUCAUCCCAGGUAUACCACCGAUUGGGAUCCUGACGAGUAUACCACUCCAACGCCGAUCCACUCAAACUAUGGAUAAAGUACUCCAUUAACAAUUCAUCUUUCCCCCCUGCUCCCCUCAUUUUGCUGCAAAGCACUCUCAAAUACGCGACUGGAUCGUCGUGACAAUCAUAUAAGUCAAAUUUAGGCAUUUUGAAACCGGGAGGCAAUUACACGUUAGGGAAUAAGCAAAGAUCCUUGAAUGGCACACUCACCUGGCCACCUAAUCCCCGCAUGUCUCUAAAAGAUUGUUCCAGACUCCGGACCUUUCUAAGCAUCUCUUCAUGUUUGGAAUUUUUAUCGGCUUUUUAGCUCCCAAUGGAAUUUCAGGAUGGGGAUCUUAAUAGUAAGGUUCCUGGGUUUUGUAGGCAGGUUCUGGUGGAUAGUAUUGAGGGUCAUAAGCUUGAAGCAGUGGUUCAAUUGACGACCUAUGCAGUGUAGGAGGUGGAGGUGCCACAUAGAUAUGAGCGAUUGCGGGGGAGGGUGAGGAGUGACUUUGGGUAGUGGGGCUGAUGGAUGAGAGGUAGCACCCUGAUGCUGUGAGUAUAUAGGAAAACUUGGAGGCGGAUCAGUGACGGACUGGUCAGGUGCUUGGGCCAGUGGCGGGAUGAAGGUUGGGUUGGCAGGAUAUGUUGUGGGUAUAUAGGAAAACUUGCGGGCGGAUCAGUGACGGGUUGGUUAGGUGCUUAGGCCAGUGGCGGUAUGAAGGUUGUGUUUGCAGGAUAGGCCAGGGGUGGCUGUCCUCUUUCCCAUGCCUGGUACAUCUCAGCCAUUUGGUGUUUAAUCUUAUACAUUUCCUCCUUCAUAGCAUUAACGUCCAAUUCCUCUGCCUCUUUCGAGGGGUCAAUAAUGCUGACAUCAGCUUCUUGGUUGGCCAUGACUUGUUUGCUUUUCGACCCUGUGUUGUAGGAGUGAAUUGCCAGAAUGACACGAGUACCAAUCACCUGUCUAAUUUGGAACUGGAAUCACAACAUCAAAUACUCGUUAGGGGUUAGGUUCUUGACACAUAAGUGUCCACAUAUUGGGUAUGUACGCACAUAAAUGACAAUUGGUCCCUAUAUGCAUUGGUUGCUUGCGUCAUCCCGGCUUUUAUUUGCGAAACUCUCUAUUGUUUUAGCCUUAUUCUCUCCCUCUUCCAUAUUCCUUCAAUUUCCAACUUUAUUCGAUUAUGGUCGAAUCCUAUGUAGAUUGCCCACGUAUCAUGUCCCCGCAUGAAUCAGACCGAGCGUAGUUCUUGCAAGUAAAAACCGUAGCAUAACAUAUUUGGGAAAAUUUCUAUUCUCAUAACAACAGACUUUAAUUACAAAGACUCGAAAAGUGGCAGAAUAAACAAAUAUUGAUAAAACGAACUACAGACUCGAACAACAACUAACUAUGCCUAAAGAAAAUACAGACUCCUUGUUUAACAAAUAAACUAAUAGUGCAAUCUUUAGGAGUACAUUAAUGCCUCAAGUGCUGCUUGGCCUCGCGGAGCAUCGUUCAGCCGUGCCACUGGCUUGUGUGCUAACCUCCCAACUAAUAAACUAAUAGUGCAAUCUUUAAGAGUACAUUAAUGCCUCAAGUGCUCCUGGGCCUUGCGAGGCAUCGUUCGGCCUUCCCGGUGGCUUGCGUGCUAAACUCCCUUGGAGGUGGUGGAGGUUUUCCAUCACUUGUCGGGCAGAAGUCAUGGUAGUGGAAAAGAACAUGAAUCUUGUCAUAUCCUCGCAAUGGUUGCACCUUGUGGUGAUGUGGUCUGCGAUUGCCCAUACGCUUUCCCUAAUAACAUCCUUUUCUUGUAACAAACACCCAAUUUGUUUAGCCCUCGCCUCUAAAGUUCGCUCGGCUACCUGAUUCAGUUCCUGGAAUUGCCUCAAAUCCAUAUCCAACCUUGCUAUCGCUGUGUAACAAUGUUCUCUUUCAGCCUUGAGGUCCCCGACUUGCUUGGCUACUUUGCUCUCAACCAUGAUGUCCCUCCAUUUUAACCUAGCGAACUCAUCUUCAUGCUUUUCCUUUAAUUUCUCAAUGAUGCGGCCUCGUUCCUCGGCACUUUUAGCUAAUUGUUUCUAAACCCGAGACAGCUCACCUUCGGCCUUAUUCAGGUCAAAUCCAUAUUCUGUUACUGUUCGUCUUAAAUUGUCUAUGAAUUUUUUAUCCUUCGCGCUCCUGGUAGGAUUUUCUUCGCCUGCUUUCAUCUUUUGGAUUUGAGCUCUAAACGCCUCAUUUUCUUUGGUUAAUCUUUUGUUUUCUCCCUCAUCUGCUGCGGCUUGCAAACUAUUUUCAAAUUGCAGUUCUUAGACUUUCUUUUCUAAUCUUCCUAUUGUGGCUCUGUAAUCAUUUUCUUUGGCUAGCCAAUCCCAUUGUUCUUGUGAUGUUUCAAUAAAUUCUUGGAGAUGUGGUCUUUAAGCUGGCCUCUCGGGCUCUGUCUCUUUUCUAUACCAGGUAGUGUAUCUUGGUGCAACCUCGCCAUUAGAUAUGUCACGUACUCGUGCAUCUGCUGUUAAGUAUUGAAUUUCGCUCCAGAUUUGACGCACGAUGGCUUCAGGGAAUUGACCAUUGGGGCUAAUCUCAACCACAUGGCGACUAAUGUCCUCGUCCCGGGGAAUCAUUUUGCAUCUACCUAAUUGCCUUAACACUUUGUAUGUCGCAUAGGGUUGGGUACUUCGGAGACCCAUCAGAAGGAAAUGUGGUCCGGUGGCUGGCAUAUAUACAAUUUCAUCCACAGGGAGCCACCCGAAUGUCCAUUAUAUUUGAUUUGCAGUGACAACCCGGAUAUGCGACACCCAUUCUGUGACACCUUUAGGUAGCAUAAAUCCAUCAACCUUGUGGUAGAAUUAUUCUAUGCAGAUCUUUGAUGGUGACCCAUAAUUCAUGAACCGAGGCCGGUGGAAGAAAUGCUCAAUCAUCCAUAUUUGUGACAAUAGGUUACAUCCCUCAAAGAAGUCUCCUCCCACUUUGCAGGUGGUGAGAGCACGGAAGAUUUCAGGAAAUAUCAUAGGAGCCAGGGUGCUCUUGGCCUGAGUCAUCAAAGUGCUGAUGACCCCUCCUAUCCGUAUGUCAAUAUUUUCGUCCUUCAGCGAAAACACCAGAAGACCAAAGAAAAAUACCAUGAAUGCAAAAAAUCGAUGCUCCUCCCAUUUGAGUUGGUCCCCUUUUCUACAAAUAUAAUUGUCCAGGUUAUUGAAUCUCCCUAUAUGACCGUACCUCUGAUAUAUAAACUGCGGGGCAUAGAAGACGGCUGAUAGGUCCGGAUUGUGAACCUUACUACUGAUUUUCAAGGAGUCUAGGAACUUGUGCACUGAAUGGGAUUUUGUUGCAAUUUAGUAUUGGUGUCUUAAAGGAAUUGUAGGGACCCCAAUAUAUCUAGUUAUUUCUUCCAACGUCGGUGUGAGCUCAAAAUCCGAGAAAUUGAAGACAUUGUGAGCGGAGUCCCAGAAUGUGAUCAAUGCUUUUAUGAUAUCCCCCCUCGGGUUAAUUUUCAACAGCCCGGUAAGUCCUCCCAAAUGCGUGUGGACCCUGUUUUGCCCUGCUUCCCCCAAGUCAUUACACCACAGGUGCAGCUCCAAGGGAAUUUUGUUCAUGAAUGUUAUCGUGAUCAUUCUGCACAUUUAUUAAGGUGAAUUAGUAUAUCAAAAUUUGACUACUGGACUCCACAAAAUAUUAAAACUACCCUCUUCCUUUGAUGAAAUUUAUUUUUUAAAACCAGUGCCUGGCUUUGCAAAUACGGCCUUUCAGCACUUCUGAAGGAAGGUUUUAAGACUGUGCUUGCUCGCCAGCCAAAAUAAGACUCAGAGGUGGACAUUUUUGUGGAAUCAGCCUUCCGGCCUCCCUUGCGGUAACGUUCGGCUAUUUCUGGCAGUAACGGUAUCACUGGAUUUAUUUCAAAAAAAUGAAUAAAAUUGGACAUUUGUUUUCUUGUUUUGGUUAUUUUUUGCAAAAGAGAGGUUGGUAUUGAUGGGGGUUGCCUACAUAUCUCUCUCCCGACGAGAAUCAAACCGGCAUAGUUCCGGAAAUUCAAGUUAUCAAAAUAAAAACUUUAAGAAGCCUCAAUUUCGUUUGUUUUUUUUUGCUUGCUUUUUUUUGUUUUUUGUUUUUGAAAAAAACCGGCAGCAUUUCGACGCUAUUCGAGCAUUGGUUUUACAAGGCAAGUGACUAACCAUAAUGCUACUUAUUUACUCAAUUUUCUUUCCUUAUUCGCAAGCCGGUCAACAUGCAAAUCCCAAGCAGUUUAAAUGCACAAGUAACAUGUAGCAUGCAUCAUGAUGGUCUUUUCAUUUUGGGUUACUUGUCCUAGACGGACCCAACCACUAUGUUGAGUCCCCUAAGUUAAAUGCAUGAUGCAAAUAAGAGUUCCUACAAGGGAUCCGUCAUGAGGUCAAGUUAUUCUAAGUUAAAACCUCUGUAUAGGGUCUAGACUGUGUACUUAAGCAGACGACUCGAGUCGAGGAAGGGCCUACGUACCGGGAACCAAAAGGCCAUUCAGCUUAGUAACUUGUCCGACCUCUUUCUUAUUUCAGGGUAUGCCACUAAUAUAAUAAGGAGUCUCAACCAGUAAGCACAUCACCAGAGGUAAGAAGAUAAGGGUAUAGGGAGUCUCAGUUUAUAUAUACAGUUCAGAUAAUAUCAAAGCGGUAAAAGCAUCAUUUUGCACAUUAAGCCAACAUGUAAAAUUAGAUAAUAAACAAAGCCAAAAAAAACAACUAUUCUAAGCUCGAAUUCUUGAACCUUGAACCAGAGAUUCUGGGUUCGUUCCCCAUCAGAGUCGCCAGAGCUAUCACACCUCCUCUUGGAUAUCACAUCCCGGCGAAGGGCGUAGAUAAGAGAGUUUUUCCAAUUAAAGGACAAUUGAGACGGGAUUAAAUUUUGAGAGAAUUUUAGAGUCGCCACUUGGGAGAUUUAUGGUGUCCCAAGUCACCGGUUAGUAUCCCGAAUUGAAGAAAAGAAUGACUCUGCUUACAGUCCAUGAACCAGAAAUGCAGGUAAGGAAUUCUGUUAAUCUGGGAGAAGAAGUUAGGCAUUCCCGGGUUCCGUGGUUCUAGCACGGUUGCUCAACUAUUAUAUUUGGCUUAAAUUAUCUGAUUUUAGAACAUGUUUUAACUUAUGUGCUUUUUAACCUUACACCGCUUUUAUUAUUAUUUUUGAAGAAAAUUGAAACGUCAUUAAAACACGUCUCGAACCACCUCACAUAAAUGCACCAGUGGUUUUUGACACAUUUGAACUUCGUUGAGAUAGAUCUGGGUCACAUAAAUGUGCACCCGAAUUUAGGAAAAGUGAUAUUAUUAAAGAACACACCUAAAGCGAUUAACGUGUUAUUAAUUUUGUGAGAGGCCAUGAAAAUUUACUAGAUGGCACGUCCCAAGUUUCUAAGUAUUUUAAUGUGUAGUAUUUAAAGAGGGCCUCAAAAUUGGUGAUUCUAUUUGGCGCGGCACACCUCACGUGUUUUAAAAAAUCAUCUUAAAGAGAAAACUAUCAUUUUUUGACUAGGACUGUCUCUAAGAACCUCAUUAAUUGGUGUUGCAAACUGAAAAUAAUCAGAAGCCAACCCAGGAACAACUUUGGAAAAUUGGGCUUUGAAGCCAGCCCAAAAAUCCCGUAAAUUUCGUUUAAUAAAUUAUUCAGCAUUUGAGCCUUGAGACUGACACAACAGGUAGAGCUGAGGCUCAAAUUUAAUUCCUAAAAGUUCAAGAACGGAUCUGAUAACUUAAUAUCCUCAAAAUAGAAAUCCAUAACAAUUUGAUCAAUUUCUGAACACUCAAACUGAUGGGGUGAAUGAUAUAUAUACUGAUAUUAAAUGAUAAACUACCUAUUCUGGAUUUUAGUUCGAAUUCUAAUUGAUGAACACACUUAAAAUAAACAAAGGCACCGAAUGGAUAUCGACAUUGACUCAAAAGAAUAUACUCAUUAACAGCUUGGUCCACACAAUUCACAAAUAUUUGAUUCAUUCACGUGACCCGGCUCAUCAUGACCAAAGCAUUUUGAAAAAAAAACAAAGAAAAAUUGCAGAUCUUACUAAUACUACUAAUUAUUUGAAUAAUACUACAUAUUACUUUUAAAGUCCUGGCUAUGAAAUAAAACAUGAAUAACAUAGCAAUGCAUUCUAGACUAACUCCAAUCUGAUACUAAUGAACACAAUGCAAUGGUUUUAUAUAGUCCAAGACAGUCCAGAUUUAUUCACAUUCAGAAAACUUAUCUAAAUCAAGGAAUCUACUCGAAAUGUAAGAAUAAUAGACAACAUAUUAAUAACAAAAUUUUGUAGCUGAUUUCAUUUCAAAUAUCAACUGGAUUUCUACAUUUGCAUCAGUCUUAGUAAGUGUACUUGGAAAUUGCGAAUAGGAAGGAAAAGUGAGAUCAACAGUAGUAGAUGGCAAAGCAGCAGAUCACAGCCACAGUAAAGCCAUUUAAAACCCAGCAGAGCACCAAAAUGGGCAAAGAUGAACCCAGUAAACGACACAAUAAUUGUAACAAACACCUCAAUGGUGCCAACAAAAUCCCAGGACUCAACUUAGUAGCCAUAACCUCUAUCUGAAUGACAAAAUUUUGGAAAUAAACAAGUCCAUGAAACAGUGAAAAUUUGAUUUGGCUGUCUAUAUGUUCAAUUAUGGCGAUCCUGCCUUUUUUCUUGCCUUGAAAGGCAAGAAAAUGUGCCUUUAUAUAGGCAUAACUUAUGGUUUGCCUUCAGAUCUUACUUUGCAUCUUGAGUCCCUUUUUAACUCUUUUUAGCUAGUUAGUCCUUUUAUUAAUGGCUUGUUUCCCAAGUCAGCUACUUAAAUUCUAAAAUUCACCUAAAGCCCCUACUAGAACUUUCCAAUUUCAGUUACAUAGAGAUUCCCUAAGUUGAAUUUCCUAAACUAACCCUAAGAGCCCUGUAGUACUGAAAACUUCAAAAACUAAUUUGGUCCUAUAUUGCGCUUGGAUUGAAGCCUAACACCUCGAUUAACCUUAUUCAAACUUCAAAAUUAAGAAUUAUCUACGGAAUCAAAUAACGUUGAUUUCAUUAUCAAACAAACCCAACGAUUAGCAUAGGAUCAAUCAUGAGGAGAAGAGAAAAAAAAUCUACAGCACUUACCAAACAAGAAUCGGAGCACAUGUGAAUAUACUUAGUCAAGUUAUCAAACUAAGCUAAAUAACAAACGAGAAUUUGAAGAUUUGAGCUUUGCAUAAUGGAGGAAAAAUAAAGGACUCCUCAAAUACAAAAUCCAAAGAGAACCAGAACAAAAUCAAAACAAGGCAUACAUUAAUCAAAACCCUAAAUUUUAAACCAUCCAAAUCAUGCAGGCACAUAACCGAAGAAGAAAAUAAAAAGACAACUCACCGGUGAAAGGCUGAACCAAGUAGUUCUCCUAUUCAAGUUCCGGAAUGAUGUGAACGUUUUUUCUUUGUCAAGAACAAACAAGCACAUUAUAUCGUGCCUCGAAUCGAUCUCUAGGCCAAAGAAUUUGGAAAAAUCGAGCGAGUUAGGUUUUAGGGUUCUGCUUAUUUCUAUGAUUUGAAAUUAGAAGAAUUCUGGGGAUGUUUGAAGGAGAUUGAGGAAAGAUUUGGACUGAGAGAGAGACGGGGUCGCUUGGUAUUUAUUUGGAAUCAAUUGGGCACAAGCGCCGCUAUGGACGGCGGAGCAACUGUGAAUUCAAACUAAGACUCGACAAGUUUGAAGGGGAUUCGAGGGUAGCUGAGGUUAGAUUCGGGAUGAGGAUGGAAAGGGGGUGCUAUGGUGUUGGGAGGAAUUGGCAUUACGCCGCCGUCGGCGGACGGUGGUGUUAGGGUGGUUCAACGGUGGCAUUACACUAUUGGUUGGACUAUACGAGGAUGAAAUGUUUUAUCUCUAAGGCUAUUACACAUCCUUUUGACAUUUUUAUGUAAAAUGCUAGGCUCCACGUUAGCCGUUAGAUUAAGGCCAUGGACGGCCAAGAUUGAAGGCCUAUCGUUUGGCGUCCCUGGGGCUGGACCUGGUAGGGGGGCCAUUGGGCUAGGCUGGGUUUUAGCUUGUUGGGCUGAGAUUUUUUUAAAGGGUGGCCCAAAUUUGGCCUUCAAAUUGUCCAGACCUUCUCUUUUCCAAAUUCUUUUCAUUUUUCAAUUUUCUAUAUGUUUUUCAAAAAUAUUAAAACUCUUAAAUUAAUUACAAAAUCUCAAUUUUACCUAAAAGAUGUAAAACUAAUCCUAUAUAAUUAUUAUCAAAACAAAGUUAAGGUGAGGAAAAAAUAAAAAGCCAAUUGAACCUUUUUUUUUGGAUUUCUCUUUUUUUUAUUAAAUGAACCAAUUACUUAUAAUUCUAAAAAAUAAAAAAAUGCAAAACUAAUUCCUAAAUGCACAUGCCACAUAUUUUUUGUUAAUAAAUAUGCACAAACAAAUGCAACCAUUAACAGAAAAUGCCGCAAAAAAUUAAAAUUGCAAAUAAACAAACGAAAUUAUUUUGUUUUGAAUUUAUGGGAGUAAUUCAUAUAGGGCAAAAAUCACAUGCUCACAGUGAUAACUAGUCCAUCUCCAAUAUAACAUCAAACCGAUCAUACCGAGAAGAAGCAAAUCUACACGAGUCUCAAAUCCGCUAAUAACCACUAUACAUGAACAAUGGACACAAUCCGCCACAAUAAUAUCAUCAACCGACGCCGACACAUAAACAGGGCACUUAAAGAAUCACUAGGCAUGACCAGAUACGGUGCAGAAUAAAAUCGAAGCUUCUCUACCACAUACUAUAACAAUACCUGCACCUCCACCUCUAAUAUCAUUACCUCCACCUCUAAUCACUUUACCUCCACCUCUAGCAUCUCUACCUCAACCUCUAAUACCUUUACCCCCUCAAAGCCUCUGAAGACGAAAUUGAUCUAUCAAUGUUCUGUGCUGCUGCUCAGCUGAAUAAAUGGUACAUGACCUCGCCAUUAGCAAAAGGACAAGAAUAGAAGUUUUAAUUUAGCAUUGAGAAACCACGGAUGACAAGGAAGAACAAAUGUGAAACUUUUUCUUACUCUAUAGCUUCUGGGGGAUAAAUACAGACGUCUCUACACCGAUCUCUCAGACUCUACUAAGCUUAUAUAUGAACUGUGAGACCCAUGUAACCUAGAGCGCUGAUACCAACUUGUCACGACCCAAAUUUCCCACCAUCGUGAGUUGUGAUGGAGCUGUCACGACCCAAACUGGAGGGCCAUGACUAGCACCCGACCAUACUUGCCGUGCACCAACGUACAUUUUACCUAGCCUUGUUUAUUAUCUUUUAGGGCCAACAAAGAUCAAUAUAAAUGGUAUCCAUGGAUCACGGACAACCAACCAUAAAAAAUGAUGGCAUAAACAUACAUAACAUUGGGAGACCAGACAACAAGAAACUAUAUAUAAGGUACGAGCUACCAGGCUACCACGAAAGAAUAUACAACAAAAACCAGCCGACAAGGCAUACCAAACUAUACAUGAGUUGACACCUGUCUAUGAGCCUCUAAAGGAACAUAAGUGCUGCAACAUAGCCAGAACAGAGCCCCAACAUACCCAUAAUGUCUAUCACUAAAAUGCAUACCAAGACCACGGUAAGUUCGGAGAAGGGAUCUCGCCAAUCACCGCUGAACUGGAUAGCCUACUGUGGUGGGGGAGCUGCAUCUGCCUGUCUAUUAGGACAUGCAACAUGACAUGCAACAUCCACAAACCAAAGGACGCCAGUACGAAUAAAGUACUGAGUAUGUAAGGCAGGAAACCAUAAAUACGAACAGUAAUAUAAGAAGGGAUAGAGAAUAUACAACUUGGAACAUCUGAGUACCUCUGAGGACUACUGACAUGAAAUACAUGAUACACAUGUAUAAAUACAUAAACAUAUUUUAAAACAUACGCCUCUAUGGUCAUCAUCAUCAUCAUAUCAUACCCGACCGUGAUAGGCUUGGUAAAAAAACAUACCCGGCCAUCAUAAGGCUCGGUAGAAUCGUAUCUGGCUACGUGGAGCCGGUAAAACCCAACUGAUCUGUGGUUGCACAAUAGGUGUCGUACCGGCCGACUAUAGCGCGGCUCGGUAGAGUAAAAUAGAUACAUAUAUAUAAUGCAUGUUCGAUUCAUGAAAACACGUUAUAAACCUUUGGUUGUGACAUAAGAUCAAUAUCCUCUAUACAUGUUAUUAGGACUAACUCCUCACUAUGAACCUUAUAAGAAUCAGGAAGUACCAACAACAUUGAUAACAUAAGAAUAAGAAAAGCAACAUCACAUCAAUUGUUCCGUAAGAGGCGAAACAAUAUAAGUACUGCUAGCUUCUAAGAGUAGAGUAUCUUUGGAAGCUCGUUCAUUACAUUCAAUCGUUCCAUAAGAGGGGAAACAAUGUAAGUACUGAUAGCUUCUAAGAGUAGAGUAUCUUUGGAAGCUCGCUCAUUUCGUUAUGUACAAUCGGAGUCGUGCAAAAGAAGGAAAAAGAUAGGCUCACAUACUUUGUAUAUAUGCCACAAUCUCAAGCUAUGCAAUUAGUCUACAAUAAGAUAAACAAUACUAUCGUCAUCGUUAAGCUUCAUAACUAUUAUGUAUCAACAACAACCGAUUUUACAAUGAAACGAACAAAACCUCCCCUAUAUAUAUGACUUCACACAAUUCCAAACAAUCACUAAAUAUCCCAAAAAACAUCAAUAAUAAUCAAAUGAGACUUCUCAAAUAGUCCACACACAACCUAAUCACUUCCUUCAUAUGACGGCCACCGUAGUCGUGUCAAACGACCCAAAAAUGGUACGAAGCACUAUCAGCCCACAACCCUACAUCUAUUUGGUGUUUCUCCACACUAUGCCUCCUCCAAAACUCCACAAAAUAGUAGUAAAACACGCAGCCCAAUAGCAACACAAAACAGUCGACAAAACAAUCUGCUACAAGUGAAUAACUCGAACUCUUGGCUUCCGAUCACCGUCUUGUGAGUUCUUACAUGUAUAGAACUAAUUACCAUGAAAGCACAGCAGAAAAAAUGUAUGAAAUAGUGCAUUAAACUUACCUUACUUGUUGGAUAACUCAGCGCUUCCUUUGGUUCUUCAAACUCCUGAUUUUUCCCUCAAUUAUAACUUGAAAGAGAGGGAAAAUCGAUUAGGAUUUGUGUGGGAUAUUUUUGAGGAGGUUUGCAGGUGAUUAGGUAUGAUUAUUUGUGAAAUAUAUUUAGGGUUAUAUUGCAGGUGAUGAAACUUGAAAGGGCUCAAUAGCCGACCCGAAAUUCCCUUUUUUUGGGCUAUCAUUUAACCAAGUAGGUGACACAUCUAGUUGUCACCUAGCAGCUUGCGCGGUCUCACAAAAAAGCCUACGUCUCUCUACUACGGUAUCGUAUUGAUAAAUGGUUUAAUACAUUGGAAACUAGACUCUUAUAUCUUAAAUUUGGAUGGUAUAUCACCCAGUAAUUACUAGUAGAUUAGGAGAAAAGCUUAAUGACAUUUGACCUAAAGUUUAAGUAAAACCAUGAACCUAAGUUGCGACAUCCAUAGUAUAAGUAAAUAAGUAGAAAAUCUCUGUAACAUUUGACCUAAUGUUUAAGUAAAAUUAUGAACAUAAGUUGCGACAACUUUUGUCGACUUUUGUAUCAUAACUCGUUUGACUUCAAAACUAUGAAAUGGAUAUUAUAUGAUUAAAAUACCUUAAAACAUUACCUCUUGAGUGUAUUAAGCACCUAUAGGUUUACCCGAAAAUACGAGAUACAACAUUCUUGAUUUGUUUAACUUCUAAUACUUGUUAAUCACCCAUAUACACCCUUGUAUCACUUAAGAUCAAUUGGAUUAACUUCUUAUCAUCUAAAGGAUAACCCCUUCUUAGAUUUAUGUUAAAUAACGUAUGGAAUGAAUUAACACGUGUGGAUAUGGGUUGUAACACCCUCCCACCUUAGGAACAUUCGUCCUCGAAUGUGAGGAUUUAUGGGGAGUCCAAAUCAUCGUGGAUUCCAACGGAAAUUUCCGGUCAAUUUCCCCUAACUAAUGGUCACUAGCAAAAUUUGCAAGCAGUUAAGACCCAUGUAUGGCUUCACAAGGCUAAAAAAAGCAGUAUGGACAUGUACAUUAUCUACAUAUCACCAUUUUGUUUUAAGGAAGAGUGUUCUAAAGUUAUUUCUUACCUCAUAAAGUCGCUUCACCUUUCUAAUGUAUCAUGUGUUCCACCAGCAUCCUUGUUAUCAUUAUUCUGGAAUAGGUAAGGGUAUUUAGAUUUCUUUUCUUCUUUCGCUUCCUAUGUCAUUUCUUCCAUAUUCUUGUUCCUCCACUAUACUUUGACGGAAGCCACAUCUUUUAUUCUCAGCUUGCAGACUUGUCGAUAUAAUAUAGCCACUGGCACUUAUUCAUAUGAUAGAUCCUCUAUAACUUGUACAUCUGUGAUAGGGACAACUCGAGAAGGGUCUCCAAUACAUUUUCUCAACACAGAUACAUGGAAUACCGGGUGGACAAUUUCCAAUUAGGAUGGCAAUUCCAACUCAUAAGCAACUUAUCCAAUUUGUUGAAGAAUUUUAAGCGGACCGAUAUACCUUGGAAUCAGCUUACCUUUCUUCCCAAAACGCAUAACACUCGUCAUUGGUGAGAUCCUUAGGAAAACCCAAUCACCAACCUCAAACUCCAAAUCACGACGUCGGAC